UUAAUGAGAGUUUGAUCCUGGCUCAGGACGAACGCUGGCGGCGUGCCUAAUACAUGCAAGUAGAACGCUGAGGUUUGGUGUUUACACUAGACUGAUGAGUUGCGAACGGGUGAGUAACGCGUAGGUAACCUGCCUCAUAGCGGGGGAUAACUAUUGGAAACGAUAGCUAAUACCGCAUAAGAGUAAUUAACACAUGUUAGUUAUUUAAAAGGAGCAAUUGCUUCACUGUGAGAUGGACCUGCGUUGUAUUAGCUAGUUGGUGAGGUAAAGGCUCACCAAGGCGACGAUACAUAGCCGACCUGAGAGGGUGAUCGGCCACACUGGGACUGAGACACGGCCCAGACUCCUACGGGAGGCAGCAGUAGGGAAUCUUCGGCAAUGGACGGAAGUCUGACCGAGCAACGCCGCGUGAGUGAAGAAGGUUUUCGGAUCGUAAAGCUCUGUUGUUAGAGAAGAACGUUGGUAGGAGUGGAAAAUCUACCAAGUGACGGUAACUAACCAGAAAGGGACGGCUAACU
rnacentral:rRNA from 1 species